rnacentral:rRNA from 1 species
UCUUAGGUUGACCUCGGAUCAGGUAGGGAUACCCGCUGAACUUAAGCAUAUC